UUUUAUUUGAGAGUUUGAUCCUGGCUCAGGAUGAACGCUGGCGGCGUGCCUAACACAUGCAAGUUGAGCGAUUUACUUCGGUAAAGAGCGGCGGACGGGUGAGUAACGCGUGGGUAACCUACCCUGUACACACGGAUAACAUACCGAAAGGUAUGCUAAUACGGGAUAAUAUAUUUGAGAGGCAUCUCUUAAAUAUCAAAGGUGAGCCAGUACAGGAUGGACCCGCGUCUGAUUAGUUAGUUGGUAAGGUAACGGCUUACCAAGGCGACGAUCAGUAGCCGACCUGAGAGGGUGAUCGGCCACAUUGGAACUGAGACACGGUCCAAACUCCUACGGGAGGCAGCAGUGGGGAAUAUUGCACAAUGGGCGAAAGCCUGAUGCAGCAACGCCGCGUGAGUGAUGAAGGCCUUCGGGUCGUAAAACUCUGUCCUCAAGGAAGAUAAUGACGGUACUUGAGGAGGAAGCCCCGGCUAACUACGUGCCAGCAGCCGCGGUAAUACGUAGGGGGCUAGCGUUAUCCGGAUUUACUGGGCGUAAAGGG
rnacentral:rRNA from 1 species